rnacentral:tRNA from 1 species
AAGGAAUUAGUUAAAUAAAUAACAAUAGAAUGUCAAACUAAAGUUACUUGAUGUAAGUAUUCCUU